CCUCCUUCUUCUUUGCCUUUUGCCAUGAUUGUAAGUUUCCUGAGGACUCCACAACCAUGCUGCCUGUACAGCCUGCAGAACUCAGACACCAGGAGAAAAGAAGUCACAAAGACGACUGGUUUUUGCCUUGAUGGAGCUUACAGUCUAGAAGAGAAGAUAGAUAUUAAACAACGUCUUCACCUACAAUGAUGGGAAGACUACAAAAGGGAAGUGAACAUUUUAUUAGAGCAAUUAAUGGAGAAUUAAUGAAUUAAUUUGGGUAUAAGACCGUAGUGUCAAAGAAAGCCUCCCUAGGGAAGAAAUGUUUCAAGUGCAACUUGGGAAAUGAGUAAGAGUUGACCAGUGAACUGGAGGCAGAGUGGUUCUGGCAUAGAAUAAAAGCUCAUGCCAGUUCUUUAGGGUAUUCAUAAAACCAAAGGAAAGGUUGAAUAUCUAAAGGGAGAUGUGUUUAGGGAGGGUGGCAUAAAAUGAGACUGGAAAAAUGAUCAGAGGCCAAAUAUCAAAGGGUCUUAAAGAUGAAUUUUUAGAGUCAAAUAGGGUGAUGCUAAUAUUAGGUUGGUGCAAUAGUAAUUUAAUGGCAAAAACUCCAAUUACUUUUGCACGAACCUAAUAUUUAUGUGAAACCAUGAUUGUCCUGACUUGGUGAGACUUUUUUAAAGCAAAGUUUCUAUAACUUCCUAAUUCUAGUUUAUGUUUAUUCUCUUCGAAAGCAUAUGUUAUUUAUUUAUUUAUUUAAUUUUAUUUUAUUUUGAGACAGAGACUUGCUCUGUCACCCAGGCUUGAGUGCAGUGGCAUGAUCUCAGCUCACUGCAAGCUCCGCCUCCUGGGUUCACGCCAUUCUCCUGCCUCAGCCUUCCGAGUAGCUGGGACUACAGGUGCCUGCCACCACACCUGGCUAAUCUUUUGUAUUUUUAGUAGAGACGGGGUUGCACCAUGUUAGCCAGGAUGGUCUUGAUUUCCUGACCUCAUGAUCCGCCCGCCUAGGCCUCAUAAGUUAUUUAUUAAUUUUGUGCCUUGGUACCAGAAAAACUUUAAAAUUUCAGAAAAAUUUUAAAUUUUCUUCCAUGAAGGUUUAUGAGAAGGCCAAUCACAUAAAUAAAAGGUAGGAAAUGAAUCUACUACAUAUAUAAUCCUGACAAAAAAUCCCUUUUUACCUGAAAUCAAGUAUAUAUUCAAUUAAAACUAUUUUGAGGAUCUGAGACCUUAAGUUAGCUCUGUUUUUUCUUUCUGUUACUACUGUAGAAAUGUUUCUAAAACUCUGUUCUUCACCUGUAUUCUCAGCAAUUUGGGAGGGUGAGGUGGGGAUCACUUGAAGCCAGGAGUUUGAGACCAGCCUGGGCAAGAUAGUGAGACUCCCGGUUCUAGAAAACCAAACAAACAAACAAAAAAUACAAUUGGCAUGGUGGCAUGUACCUGUAGCCCUAGCUACUUGGAAGACUGUGGUGAGAGAAUUGCUUGAGUGCAAGAGUUCCAGACUGCAGUGAGCUGUGAUCAUGCCACUGCACUCCAACCUGGGUGACAGAGACCUUGCAUCAAAAGAAAACAACAACAACAACUGUUCUUGCAAUUCAUGUGUAUGGAUUUACCUAUAAAGAGAAAACAAGAUCUAAUUAAAAGGAAAUAAUAGCAAUAUGUUGACAACAGGACAUAUAUUGGCCUUGAAUUUGAGGUUUUAUUUUAAUCUGGCUAGGCAUUGUGCUGUGUUUAAUGUUUGCUGUAUGUGUGUUGCCGGAAUUUUUCAAACGCUUCUGAUGUCCUUUUUUUUAUUUCCUUUGCUGAUUUCAGGCUUCUCUACGUUCUUCUUUUCAAAUUUGUAUCUUGCAGGACUUUCAGCAGUUUGUUCUCACGUGGCACAGAAAAAGCAAGAGCGACUUUUACAACUAUUCACAAAUUAUUUUUAGCAUAUAAAAACUUAUAUGUUGAGCCUAAACUUGCACCCAUCUUCUUAGAUAAUAUGAUAAAAGUCUAACUUUUCAAUUGUUUUCUUGUUGUCUAUGUGAAGAAGUUUGCUUAUUGUUUUCCGGGUGUGGUAGAAGAAUAAUACCCCUCUUUCCCAAAGUUGUCUACCUCCUAAUCCCUGAAAACUGUGAAAAUGUUACCUUAUAUGGCAAAAUGGACUUUCCAAAUAUGAUUAAGAUUAAAAGCCACAAGAUGGCAAAAUUAGCCUGGAUUAUCCAGGUGAGGACAAUGUCAUUACAGGAGUCAUUAAAAGCAGAAAUUUUUCUCCCUUGUGGUCAGAGAAGGAGCUGUGAUGACAGACACAAAGUCAGAGAACUGCUAUGCUGCUGACUUUGAAGAUGGAGGAAGGGAUCCCUGAGUCAAGGGAUGUGGGAUCUAGAAUCCUCUAGGAGUGACAAAAGGUGGGGACACAGAUUCUUCCUUAGAGCCUCCCAAAGGAAUGCAGCCUGGCUGACACCUUGAUUUUAGUCUGAUGCCAUAGAUGCUUAAUAAAAACCUUGUUCUGUUGAAAAGAGAUCACUUGUUGAGCCAUUCAAUGCUUUACCUAGUGCAAAUUCCAGAGAAAAUUCUAAAACGAUUACUUAGACUAGUAUUACUAAGAAGUCUUAAGGCACAUACAUUUCAGUUGAAUAAUAUACUAAAAGUACAUAUAUGCUCUGCGUUUAUGAACUCUGUUAUCACAGUAUGCAAGUAAAACUGGAUAGAGAUAAUCUUGGCAGGAGGAAAUUUAAUUCCAGCAUGAGGGGUCUAAUUUAGAUUAGUUUAGUUUCAUUUGGAUAAAAACAAAACAAAAUAAUAAAAAGAUAUUGGGAAUUUCAUAUUUGAUAUUUCAUUGAUACUUUACCUCAAUGUAUCUGAAGCUUAGCUUAUCAUUUGUAUCUCCCAAAAACAGGCUGGUUACAAAUACAACCCUUUUAUCUAAAACUUACAUUCUAUAUAGAUGCAAUGCUUCUAACAUCUUAUCAAAUAAUUAGGAGCAAUAACAUCUUGCUGCUUUAAAGUGUUAAAGCAGUAGAAAAUGCUGUAUGAAUGUAUCUAGCUUAGACUGUAAGGCUAUUUACUUAAACAACCUAUUUCAUUCUUAAUAUACACAAAUUUAUAAUUUUGUUAUUUAUCAUGGUUUCAAUUUUGUGCAAAGAAAAUAUGUAAAAUAUGCAAGUUUGACAAUAAACUUUAUAUUAAAAUAC